rnacentral:rRNA from 1 species
UCCCCCGCAGUUUUGCGCGGGAAUCGAUUAGAGUUUGAUCCUGUCUCAGGACGAACGCUGGCGGCGUGCUUAACACAUGCAAGUCGAACGGGAGUAUUGAAGAAGCUUGCUUUAGAGAUACUUUAGUGGCGGACGGGUGAGUAACGCGUGAGGAGCUGUCCAAUGCAGGGGGACAACAGUUGGAAACGACUGCUAAUACCCCAUAAUGCCGAGAGGUAAAAUUGAGCGAUCCGGCAGAGGAUUGUACUCGCGUUCUAUCAGCUAGUAGGUGAGGUAACGGCUCACCUAUUGCGAAGACGGGUAGCCGGCCUGAGAGGGCGAACGGCACACUGGAAACUGAGAUACGNGUCCAGACUCCUACGGGAGGCAGCAGUGGGGAACUAUUGGUGCAAUGGGGGCAACCCUGACCCAGCUGACGCCGCGUGGGUGAAGAAACUCCCUCGGGAUGUAAAAGCCCUGUUGUAUUGGGAAGAGCAGAAGACUGGUACCCAUACGAGGAAGCCCCGGCAAACUACGUGCCAGCAGCCGCGGUAAUACGUAGUGGGGCAAGCGUUGUUCCGGAAAUUUCCUUGGGGCCGUUAAGCGCACGCAGGGCUGAAUUCAUACGUCCGGUAGUCAAAAUAACGGGAGGCCUUCAAAGCUUUCCGGGCAUNUUCUAUCNGAUACCUGUUAAU